CAGGUACAGAGGGAUGCUACCGGGCGACCGGAUGCGGAUCUCGAAAGCCUGUCCCAGUUCGGACUGGAGUCUGCAACCCGACUCCACGAAGUUGGAUUCGCUAGUAAUCGCGCAUCAGCCAUGGCGCGGUGAAUACGUUCCCGGGCCUUGUACACACCGCCCGUCAAGCCAUGGGAGCCGGGGGCGCCUGAAGUCCGGGACCGCGAGGAGCGUCCUAGGGCAAAACUGGUGACUGGGGCUAAGUCGUAACAAGGUACC
rnacentral:rRNA from 1 species